ACCCCACUGCUAUCGGGAUGGGACUAAGACAUGCUAGUUGUGCGUCUCUAAGCCAUGGUGAGACGCAGCGCACAGCUCAGUAACACGUGGCUAACCUGCCCUUGAGACGGGGACAACUCCGGGAAACUGGGGGUGAUCCCCGAUAGACGAGGAUUCCUGGAAUGGAUCUUCAUUGAAAGGGUGUCUAGGGCAUGCUUCUAGGCGCUGCUCAAGGAUGGAGCCACGGCCGAUCAGGUUGUUGGUGAGGUAACGGCUCACCAAGCCUUUAACCGGUACGGGCCGUGGGAGCGGUAGCCCGGAGAUGGGCACUGAGAUAAGGGCCCAGGCCCUACGGGGCGCAGCAGUCGCGCAAACUUCGCAAUACACGAAAGUGUGACGGGGCUAUCCCGAGUGCCGUCCGCUGAGGAUGGCUUUUCCACGCUGUAAGGAGGCGUGGGAAUAAGGAGAGGGCAAGACUGGUGUCAGCCGCCGCGGUAAUACCAGCUCUCCGAGUGGUGGGGGUGCUUAUUGGGCCUAAAGCAUUCGUAGCCGGUUCAGUAAGUCCUCCGUUAAAUCCAACGAUUCAAUCGUUGGACUGCGGGGGAUACUGCUGGGCUAGGGGGCGGGAGAGGCCGACGGUAUCCUCGGGGUAGGGGUGAAAUCCUAUAAUCCCGGGUAGACCACCAGUGGCGAAGGCUGUCGGCUAGAACGCGCCCGACGGUGAGGGAUGAAAGCUGGGGGAGCGAACCGGAUUAGAUACCCGGGUAGUCCCAGCCGUAAACUAUGCAGGCUAGGUGUUGGAGCGGCUACGAGCCGCUUCGGUGCCGCAGGGAAACCGUUAAGCCUGCCGCCUGGGGAGUACGGCCGCAAGGCUGAAACUUAAAGGAAUUGGCGGGGGAGCAGAAGACACAGAUGCCGAUCAUAACAUGACUUUCCAUUGACUUUGUCGUUUCGAAUGAAGCUUACCGCGAGUUGCUUUUACGUAACCGCUAAAAGUCUAGGAUUGUUUAAGAAUACCUUUGGCGUCUUCUACAGAUCUUCGGUUUCAAGGCUUUCAGAGCGGUUAAAGGCAUUUUGGUCUUCUCCCAAACCACAAGGGGUGAAGCUUGCGGUUU
rnacentral:rRNA from 1 species